CCAAUAGCGUAUAUUAAAGUUGUUGCAGUUAAAAAGCUCGUAGUUGAAUUUCGGGGUCAAUAGGUUGGUCGUGCCACCGGUACGUACUGGUCUCACUGAUUCCUCCUUCCUGAAGAACCGUAAUGCCAUUAAUUUGGUGUUGCGGUGAAACAGGACUGUUACUUUGAAAAAAUUAGAGUGUUUAAAGCAGGCUAACGCUUGAAUCCAUUAGCAUGGAAUACUGAAAUAGGACGAUCGAUCCUAUUUUGUUGGUUUCUAGGAUUGACGUAAUGAUUAAUAGGGAUAGUUGGGGGCAUUAGUAUUCAAUUGUCAGAGGUGAAAUUCUUUGAUUUAUUGAAGACUAACUACUGCGAAAGCAUUUGCCAAGGAUGUUUUCAUUAAUCAAGAACGAAAGUUAGGGGAUCGAAGACGAUCAGAUACCGUCGUAGUCUUAACCAUAAACUAUGCCGACUAGGGAUCGGAUGAUGUUAAUUUUAUAAUGACUCAUUCGGCGCCUUACGG
rnacentral:rRNA from 1 species